UACGUAGGGCGCAAGCGUUGUCCGGAAUUAUUGGGCGUAAAGAGCUCGUAGGUGGUUUGUCGCGUCUGCCGUGAAAGCCCGGGGCUUAACUCCGGGUCUGCGGUGGAUACGGGCAGACUAGAGGCAGGUAGGGGGAGAACGGAAUUCCCGGUGUAGCGGUGAAAUGCGCAGAUAUCGGGAAGAACACCCGUGGCGAAGGCGGCUCUCUGGGACGGUACUGACGCUGAGACGCGAAAGCGUGGGGAGCGAACGAGGAG
rnacentral:rRNA from 1 species